CACGUAGGGCGCAAGCGUUGUCCGGAAUUAUUGGGCGUAAAGAGCUCGUAGGCGGUCUGUUACGUCUGCUGUGAAAACCCUGGGCUUAACCCUGGGCUUGCAGUGGAUACGGGCAGACUAGAGGCAGGUAGGGGAGAAUGGAAUUCCCGGUGUAGCGGUGAAAUGCGCAGAUAUCGGGAGGAACACCGGUGGCGAAGGCGGUUCUCUGGGCCUGACCUGACGCUGAGGAGCGAAAGCGUGGGGAGCAAACGGG
rnacentral:rRNA from 1 species